rnacentral:rRNA from 1 species
UACGAAGGGGCUAGCGUUGUUCGAAAUUACUGGGCGUAAAGCGCACGUAGGCGGAUUGCUAAGUCAGGGGUGAAAUCCUGGAGCUCAACUCCAGAACUGCCUUUGAUACUGGCGACCUUGAGUCCGGGAGAGGUGAGUGGAACUGCGAGUGUAGAGGUGAAAUUCGUAGAUAUUCGGAAGAACACCAGUGGCGAAGGCGGCUCACUGGCCCGGUACUGACGCUGAGGUGCGAAAGCGUGGGGAGCAAACAGG